rnacentral:pre_miRNA from 3 species
CUGUUGACGUUGCCAUGUCUAAGAAGAAAAUUUUUCUCCAAAGUUUUCUUCUUAGACAUGGCAGCUUCAGCAG